rnacentral:rRNA from 1 species
AGAGCGAACGCUGGCGGCAGGCCUAACACAUGCAAGUCGAGCGCCGUAGCAAUACGGAGCGGCAGACGGGAGAGUAACACGUGGGAACGUACCCUUUGGUUCGGAACAACCCAGGGAAACUUGGGCUAAUACCGAAAUAAGCCCUUACGGGGAAAGAUUUAUCGCCGAAGGAUCGGCCCGCGUCUGAUUAGCUAGUUGGUGGGGUAACGCCCACCAAGGCGACGAUCAGUAGCUGGUCUGAGAGGAUGAUCAGCCUCAUUGGGACUGAGACACGGCCCAAACUCCUACGGGAGGCAGCAGUGGGGAAUAUUGGACAAUGGGCGCAAGCCUGAUCCAGCCAUGCCGCGUGGGUGAUGAAGGCCCUAGGGUUGUAAAGCCCGUUUCGGCGGGGAAGAUAAUGACGGUACCCGCAGAAGAAGCCCGGCUAACUUCGUGCCAGCAGCCGC